rnacentral:rRNA from 1 species
GACUCUUAGCGGUGGAUCACUCGGCUCGUGCGUCGAUGAAGAACGCAGCUAGCUGCGAGAACUAAUGUGAAUUGCAGGACACAUUGAUCAUCGACAUUCGAACGCACUUGCGGCCGGGUUCCUCCGGGGCUACGCCUGUCUGAGCGUCG